rnacentral:lncRNA from 1 species
AACCUGCAUCCUCAUGGAGACUAUGUAGGGUUCUUAACCCACUGAGCCACAAUGGGAACUUUGAUUCUUUAAACUCUUUCCAACUCUUAUAAAUAUAAACAAUUCUAUGAUAAAUAACCUUUUGCAAUCAUGUUUGUGUAUAUCUGAUUAUAUUUUAGUGUAAAUUCUCAGAAUUGUGACUGCUGGGUCAAAGACAAUGCUUUAUUAAUUUAUCUUGUUUUUGUUUUUUUUGUCGGCCCCACCCACAGCACGUAGAAGUUCUGGGGUCAGGGAUUGAACCUGUGCCAUAGCAGCGACCCAGCCACAGGAGAGACAACACCAGGUCUUUAACCCACUGAGCCACCAGAGAACUCCUAUUUCAGUUUUUAAAUAAAUAAAAUUCUAAAUUACCCUGUAGAAGAAUAAUGCCAAUUCAUAUCCCAAGAUUAAUGUAUGUUAUCCCUUUUUCUCACAAUUUUAUCCUUUGAUGAUCAUUUUCAGAUAGAUGAUGUUUCCAAUCUAAUAAGUGAUAAUUUAGAUCUGUUAUUAUGAAUGUGCCUUACUUUAUAAGUAAAGUUGUAUGACUUCUUAUGCUUAUUGACCAUUUUAUUUUUUAUUUUUUAAUUGCCUUUGCUCUUGUUUUUCUAUUUAACUCUUCCUAACUAAAUUCUUAUUACAUUGGUUAUUAGAACUGCAAACCUUUUUCCAAGAUAACCUAGAUUUAAGGUGUCCCCAGCUUUAGAAGUUGGGGGAAGAGGACAACACAGUAUCCACAUAGCUGUCUUUAUGUUUAUCUCAUGCCUCUGACUGCCAGGAUACAUGAACUAACUCAGCAUGGCUCUGAUGCCCUUUAAAAUUCUUCUCAGGCAAAAACCUUAGUGAACAAGAAAACAUAACUGAAGUUUUCAUAAGGAAGGUGGAGAACAGAUUUUGCAAAACCCACCCUACAGAAAAAUCCCUAGUAGAUAGGUCUGUUAUCAUUAGCUUGAUCUGGGGCUGAAAUAGGGAGUGGCUUCUCCUCAACUUGCUUUCUCAAAAUUGUCUUGAUGUUCAGUCAAACAAAAGGUCCUCAAGUUACCCAAAAUUACCCUCCUUAAAAGAAAAUUAAACAAUCAUCUUAACUGCUUUUGAUUAUGCCCUUGCUAUCACACUCAACUCCUGCAGUUUGUGAGAGUAUUUCUUCUGAUCUUUUUCUGUUAAAUUUUUCAAAAGUGUUAACUUUUAUUCACCGAGUUUCUGCCCAUUUCUUGUUGAUUUUAUUUCUAGAUAUUUUUUAUUUGGUUGCUGUAGCAAGUGGUAAUUUGUUUCACUACAUUAUCUAACAAAUCUUUUUUUUAAUUUUAUUAUAGUUGAUUUACAUUGUUAUGUCAGUUUUUGCUGGAAAGCAAACUGACCCAGUCAUACAACUAUACACACUCUUUCACUCUUUCUCAUAUUAUCUUUCAUCCCAGUCCAUCACAAGUAAUUGGACAUAGUUACCUGUGCUUUACAGCAGAACCUCAUUGCUUAUCCACUCUUUUUUUUUUUUUUUUAGGGCCACACCUAUAGUCACCUGUGCCAUAUUUUAGAUUCCACAUAUAAGUGAUAGCAUAUGGUAUCUGUCUUUUUCUGAUUUACUUCACUUAAUAUGAGAAUCUCUAGUUGCAUCCACGUUGCUACAAAAUGGCAUUAUUUUGUUCUUUUUUAUGGCUGAGUAGUAUUCCAUUGUAUAUUUAUACAUCAUCUUCUUAAUCCAUUCAUCUGUCAAUGGACAUUUAGGUUGUUUCCAUGUCUUGGCAACUGUGAAUAAUGCUGCAGUGAACAUAGGGGUGCAUGUAUCUCUUUCAAUGAAAUUUUUGUCUGGAUAUAUACCCAGGAGUGGGACUGCUGGAUCUGAUGGUAGUUCUAUAUUUAGUUUUCUACGGAACCUCCAUACUGUUUUCCAUAGUGGUUGUACCAAUUUACAUUCCCACCACAGUGUAGGAGGGUUCCCUUUUCUCCACACCCUCUCCAGCAUUUGUUAUUGUAGUCUUACUAAUCAUGGCCAUUCUGACAGGUGUGAGGUGGUACUACACUGGAGUUUUGAUUUGCACUUUUCUAAUAAUUAGCGAUAUUGAACAUUUUUUCAUGUACCUAUUGGCCAUCCAUAUGUCUUCUUUGGAGAAGUGUCUAUCUAUUUAGGUCCUCUGCCCAUUUUUCAACUGGGUUGUUUUUUUGCUAUUGAGUCCUAUGAGUUGUUUGCAUAUUUUAGAGAUUAAGCCCUCGUCAGUUGAAUCAUUUGAAACUAUUUUCUCCCAGUCUUUUCAUUUUUUUUUUUUUUAUGGUUUUCUUUGCUGUGCAAAAGCUUGUAAGUCUGAUUAGGUCCUAUUGAUUUAUUUUUGCUUUUAUUUCUAUCACCUUGGGCAACUGACCUAAAAACAUUUGUAAGGCUGAUGUCAGAGAAUGUUUUGCCUGUGUUCUCUUCUAGAAGUUUUAUGGUGUCUUGUCUUGUGUUUUAAGUCUUUAAGACAUUUUGAAUUUAUUUUUGUUCAUGGUGUAAGGGUGUGUUCUAGUUUCAUUGAUUUACAUGGAGCUGUCGAGAUUUCCCAGCACCACUUCCUAAAGAGACUGUCUUUUUCCCAUUUUAUAUUCUUGCCUCCUCGAAGAUUAACUGUAAGUUUUGGGUUUAUUUCUCAGUUUCCUAUUCUGUUUCACUGGUCCAUAAGGUGUAACCAAUCUUUUUUAUGUAUCAGAACUGUUGAUUGGGAUACAUUUUUUUUUUUUUUUUUUUGUCUUUUUGCCAUUUCUUGGGCCGCUCCUGCGGCAUAUGGAGGUUCCCAGGCUAGGGGUCGAAUCAGAGCUGUAGCCACCAGCCUACGCCAGAGCCACAGCAGCACAGGAUCCAAGCUGCGUCUGUGACCUACACCACAGCUCACGGCAACGCCAGCAACGCCAAAUCGUUAACCCACUGAGCAAGGGCAGGGAUCAAACCCACAACCUCAUGGUUCCUGGUCGGAUUCAUUAACCACUGCGCCACGACAGGAACUCCUGGUCAGUAUUUCUAAAUGAGGAAUACUGGUAAUGAUGACAGGAUUCUUUGUCUUUCAUUACAAAGACUUCUAAAUCUUUCAUUAAAAUGAUGCUGCCUUUAGUAUAUUUUGUAUACACACAUACACAUAUAAAAUUUUAAUGUCAAAGAAAUUUAGAUCUUUUCCUAUUACACUGAUGGUUUGCAUUUCUUACUGGCAUUUUUUUUUUUUUUUUUGCUUUUUUUUUUUUUUAGGGCCCCACCCAUGGCAUAUGGAAGUUCCCAGGCUAGGGGUUGAAUCAGCCACAACAACGUGGGAUCCAAGACUUGUCUGCGACCCACACCAUGGCUCAUGGCAAUGCCAGAUCCUUAACCCACUGAGCAAGGCCAGGGAUCAAACCUGCAUCCUCAAGAAUAGUAGUCAUAUCCUGGAGUUCCCACUGUGGCAGAGCAGAAACGAAUCCUACUAGGAACCACGAGGUUGUGGGUUCGAUCCCUGGCCUCAUUCAGUGGCUUAAGGAUCCAGCAUUGCCAUGAACUGUGGUGUAGGUGACAGACGCAGCUCGGAUCUGGCGUUGCUGUGGCUCUGGUAUAGGCCAGUGGCUAUAGCUCUGAUUAGACCCCUGGCCUGGGAACUUCCACAUGCCACAGGGGCAGCCCUAAGAAGGCAAAAAAAAGACAAAAAGAUAAUAUUUUUUUUAAAAAAUAAUUGUAUCCUUAAUCUGCUGAGCCACAAUAGGAACUCCAUUAUUUGUAUAUUUAUUUUCUUUUGCUUUUUUUUUUUAGUUAGGAAAGACCACUGGAUUUGUCAGGAUCCUUUAGAUACCAGUCCAGGAUCUGUCAAAGGCUUUUUAAAUACCAGUCCACUGAUCCACCCUAAAUUUGAAUUAUCUUUUUUAAAUACUUAAAUAUGCCCACACAUGUUUAUGGACUGUUAAUUUUAUUGUACUGAUCUAUAAAUCAUUUUUAACACUAAUACUAUACAAGUUUAUUUAUAGAGCAUUUUGACACAUUAUUAGAGCUGGUAAAAUAAAUUUCCAUUUCACCAAUUUUUAAGAUUUUCUUGGCUAAUGUGGGCCAAUAUCCUUAUUGUUAUUUAUAUUACCAUCAUUUAGAUACUUAAAAUUAAUAAAACAGAAAUAAUACAAAAUAGUUUCAGGUACUUUGAUUUUAAAAUUGAAAAUGACCAGUGCAAUCUAGGGGCAGCAGAAAUCAGUAGGAGCUUAAUGAGUGAUGACGGAAAGUGUCACAGAAGAUUUACUUUCUCCAACUACAGAAGAGGAUAGGAGAAAGGGGGAGAUAAAUUACACAAAGUUAGUGAAGGCAUUCUGAUUAAGGUUUAGUCCAUUUAGGCUGAAAUACACAUGUGUAGGAAAGCACUCUGAUGCUACUUAUAAGAAGGAUUUCAGUAAAGAAAAGAAAUUCAUUAUUUAGCCACACAGUAACCAGAACAGGAAUUAAGGAAUAAUAAUUUAAGGAAGUAAACUCUGGUACAAUAAUAUUAGAUCAAAGAAGAAUGAGUAAGAAUUUUAAAAAUCUGGAGUUCCUGUUGCAGCUCAGUGGGUAAUGAGCCAAUUGGUAUCCGUGAAGUAUUAAUUACUAUUUUUACUACUUUCUCCUAUGUUCUCUGUAUUCUGUCUCUUGCAGGAAGAGGUUCAGAGUAGAGACACAAUGAAGAAUUAAGUAAUAAAUAGAAGGUUGAUAAGAGUUGUCAAAAUAAAGAGGUGUUCAUUCCAGAACUUGCUUCCCAAUAAAGCAGGGUCCUCAAGCCACCUUCUCUGAACCUUGAUUCCACUGCAUUUUUUAGUUCGUGAAGAGGUGGCUUCAAUAAGUCCUUUCAAACUAUUAAACUUCAGGCCAUUUGAGAAAUUCAUAACCUCAGAGCAAGCUCUUACAAAGCAUGAACAAACACAGCAAGCUUAUCCUCAAAUUCCAGAGGCAGUAAACCUUGUUUGGGAGAAAGCAGGCAGUCCCUCCUGCCUGGAGUGGAAACACCACAGGCAAGGAAAACUAUAGAGCCUGUGUGAUAAAGGAAAGUCACUGUGUAAGAGGGUCUUAAAGUCCAUUACUCCAAACCUUCAUUUAAUUCCAAAAACAUUCUGGAGACCCUGAAGUAACGUGAUCAGAAAGGUACUAGUAGAUGAGACUGGUUGCUUGGAAGAGAACAGACGAAGAAGGUAAAUGAUAAAAUUCUGGUCACUCGAAUGACUGCUAAAGGUGUUCACUGGUACCUACUAUAUAUUUCAUAUUGUUGUAAAAAGAAUAGCUUCCAUUAGGGGAUGGAAAACCAAGGUUUCAUAGGAAAGUCGACUAAAGAAAUAAAGGCUCUCUAGAGACGUAACACCCCGCUGAGCACAUGCCAGUCAUGUGUCCACACAAACACCAUCUCCUAAAUGCUCAAUUUUUAACAAGUAAACUUUUUUUUUUUUUUUUUUUUUUUUUGCUUUUAGGGCCGCACCUGCAGCAUGUGGAGGUUCCCAGGCUAGGGGCUGAAUCAGAGCUACAGCUGCUGGCCUACACCACAGUCACAGCCACACCAGAUCCUUAACCCCUGAGCAAGGCCAUGGAUCGAAUCCACAACCUCAUGGUUCCUACUCGGAUUCGUUUCCACUGCACCAUGACAGGAACUCCCAUUAAGAGGUAAACCAUUUAAAGUUCAUUUUAUUGUGAGCAUUUCAGACCCUGACCCAGAAUCUUGAACUGUGUCACUCACUUCCUGAGUGACCUUGACAAACCAUGCAACUUUUUUUUAUUCUUUAUCUUCUGGGGUAUUUCAAAAAUGAGCUUUGAAAUCACUGCCAUACACAGUCUAUUUGUAAUCUUUAGGAUUCUUGCUGUGCUCUAAAAAGGUUUCUUUUGAUUCAUUCUGAUUCAUGGUACAAUGAAAUGUUGUCUCCCAGAUCUCUGGCGAAAUUUAGAGUUUUUGUAGAAUUUAGUGCUCCAAACUAUUGUAUGAGCAUCUCUUUUAAAAACAUCAAUUUAAGGAGUUCCCACUGUGCACAGUAGAUUAAGGAUCAAGAGCUGCUGCAGCUGUGGUGUAGGUUGGCGGCUCCAGCUCAGAUUCCAUCCCUGGCCUGGGAACCUCCUCAUUCAUGCCAUGGGGGCAGCCCUAAAAAAAGCUAAACAAAACAAAAAAAUUAAAUGUUGGCAGUGUUGUCUUAUGAAGAUGACUUAGAUAUAAAUUGUUAAGUACCAAGAACAGAGAACCAGGACCAACGGGUAAAAAUUAUUACAGGGAGGCAGAUUGUAAAUUAAUGUAAAAAGAAUUCCUCUUUGCAAUUCACUUUGGUUCACAUUUUAUGUGCAAGAUCCAGUUUAGUUUCACAGGUAACAGAAAGAUGAGCAAACCAAAGUACAGGCCUCCCCAAAGAGACAUUAACCUCCUGCAGCUGGAAUAUGGACUGGGUGAGGCAGGAAGCAAGAGAACUGGAGAAGUAGAUGGAACCAGACCAUGGAGGGCCUGGAAAGCUAAGUUGAGGACAUUAGGUUUUUUUAAACAGGCAAUUGAGAAUGAUAAAGCAUUUCUAAAUCCUUUUCAACUCAAAUUUUAAUUAGAAAAAUAAUUAUAUAUUGGGGAAAUAACUAUUUAAAAAUAGUAAUAAUAAAAAACAUAAUAC